GGGGAAAGGUUUUCGGGCUCGUAUGGGUUCGAAUUGGUGUGGGGUGGCAGUUGCAUGCAACAUGUGCCUUCUGCCAAUUCGGUCCUGUGCGAGCUCACAAUCCCACUCUCGGCGUAAAAGUUGGUCAUCUAUCCGACCCGUCUUGAAACACGGACCAAGGAGUUUAUCGUGUGCGCAAGUCAUUGGGUGUUGAAAACUCAAAGGCGCAAUGAAAGUAAAGAAUCCGCAAGGAUACGACGUGUGAUCUGAGCAAUCACGAUUGCCUGGAGCAACAUGGCCCCAUUCUGGUCGCUUGCGACGGGGUGGAGGAAGA
rnacentral:rRNA from 1 species